CGGGCUCGCGCAAGCGCACAACGCCGCUUCCACGAGGCGCACGCGCAAACCGCUGUUCGCGACUCUUGUGGCCCCGCCCUGUUUGUCCAAGUUCUUCCCCGCCCAGUAUUGGCCAAGUUACCACCUUCCCAACAACGGCACUCCCGAAGAGUCCCUGACUGAGUACCGUUACACCGUCGUGUUCUUUGCGCUCGACAUGCCCAGAGCCUUUCCAAGAUGAGGGAGCAGAGGCCCAGAAAGAAUUCUCCAAUUUUAAGCCUCAGUUGAGGAUCCAGUGCACUGAGAGCCUUCUCUGAGGCCCCAGGCUGUAAAGCAGAUGCCCUUUCUGUGCUGCCAGGAGCCUAGCCUGUGCCUGGCACACUAUCCGUUGCUGGCUUGGGGGCUCCCAGAGAGCACGCUGCUGCUUCAACACCCAGCAUGAUGCCAUCAGAGUGUCACCUUGCAUGCCUUCGGGAUCUGAAAUCUCCCCAAGUGUUGAAUCACAAGCAGUCCACAAAAACUGCAAGAAGGGUUAAUGAGCCACCACUGGAAUGUGACUGUGGUCAUCUUUCCAUAGCAGUUGUGGGUCCCUGGAAAAGUUUUCUGGUGGUAGGCAGAAAUCUGCCUUCCUGACAUUUCCACUCUGUGGUUCUAGCAUGUUGUCUCCCAACAGAUGUCUGAAGCAGAGAUUUGUUCUUUGUUCCCUGAAUAUCACUUUCUGGAGCCCAGUUCCUUCCCUUCCCACCCCACUCCUUCAACUUCUCACUUGUCAAUGUCCCAAGAACAGAACACAGCCAGAACUGGCCAUCCUGGGGCACAGUGGGUAAGUUUGUUGCCUCAUGGAAUCCAGACCCAGUGCAUCCUCUAGGUUGUUUCCCUGCUUUCAGUUCUUCCAUGACUCUCUACUGUCCACAAGAUGUAGACAUUCCUUCCCUCAUAAGGGACUGUGUGAUCUCACCCAGCCUCUUUCUUCAUUCCCCACACCAGUGAUUUCUUCCUGUUCCCUGAUCCUGCUCUGCUUUCUUUCUACUAGGCUUUCUACAUGCUGUUCCCUCUCCCUGGAACAUGUUGUCUCCAUCUCCUGCCUGCAACACACCACCAUCUCCUUCAUCUGGUCAACAUCUCAACCUUAGGAAUAAUUGCAGCCUUUCCUGAUCCCUCCAACUCCCUGACCACCCCUUUGCCAUUGACAUUUGGUUUCCUGUUUUUCAGGUUCAUAUACUGUUAUCCUCAAUGCCCAGCACAGGCCUGGCUGUUGUUAGACUCUCAAAAAAGAGACCUGGAAUUCCUUGGUGAUCUAGUGGUCAGGACUUCAUGCUCUCACUGCUGAGGGCCGACAUUCAAUCCCUGGUCUGAGAACUAACAUCCCACACAAAAAAGUAAUUUUCAUGUGGUUGCUGGCUUCCAAGAUGGUCCCCAAUGACCUCCACUUUCUGCUCUUCAUGCCCUUGUAUAGUUCUCUUCCAAAAGGAAUAGGACUAAUUUGUAUAACUAGUGAGAUACUGCAGAAAUUAUAGUGUAUGACUUUCAAGGCUUAAGUCAUAAAAGACAUUGUGACCUCUCCUGCUUUCCCAUAGAUCACUUGCUCUAAGGGAAGCCAAUUGCCAUGUUGUGAGGAUACUCAAACAGCCCUAGGGAGAGGUCCACAUGGGGAGGAACUGAGGCCUCCUGCCCACCCUCACUUGCCAGGCAUGAGUAACCCAACUUGGGAAUGGAUCUUCCAGCCCCAGUCAUGCCUUCACAUGAUUGCUGCCUGAUUUGACACUUGACUGCACCCUCAGGAGACCCUGAGUCAGAACAACUUAGCUCCUGAAUCCCUGACCCACGGCAUCUGUGAUAUAAAUGUUUGGGGAUAAUUGAUUAUACUGUAAUAGAUAAUUAACCCAUGUCCUUUUUUUGUGAUAAAUAUUUGAAAGUC